CCUGCCUUUCUCCGUAUCACACCCUCUUUAAUUCUUCAUCAUCUUAAAGUUAAAACUGAAACUCUUGACCAAACGGACUCUGGCCAUCAAUGGGUUGAUGAGAUGUGAUUGGCAGGUCACAAGCCCCAUGGGAGGCCAGGGGCAGGAUUUGGUGGGAUUUGAACCACAACCCCAUGAAAACACAGGAGCACAGGAAAUAGUGCCUGCAUUUUUGGUGCUGCCCUCACUCCAUAUUCUUGUAUUCAAUGCUGGAGCUCCCCUGUUGUCCCAAGACAGGCCUCUGGAAUGCCAAAGCCUGCUAAGCCAUAGGGUUUGCAAAACCACCAACUCUGGGGCGGAAUUUCCCUGAGCGGCAGAUACUGAUCCCCCUCCAGCUCUG